UACGGAGGGUGCGAGCGUUGUCCGGAAUCAUUGGGCGUAAAGGGCGCGUAGGUGGCCCGGUCAGUUCGUGGUGAAAGCGCGGGGCUCAACCCUGCGUCGGCCAGGGAUACUGCCGCGGCUCGAGCACUGUAGAGGCAGGCGGAAUUCCGGGUGUAGCGGUGGAAUGCGUAGAGAUCCGGAAGAACACCGGUGGCGAAGGCGGCAUCCUGGACCGGUAUUGACGCUGAGGCGCGAAAGCUAGGGGAGCAAACGGG
rnacentral:rRNA from 1 species